rnacentral:rRNA from 1 species
UACGUAGGGGGCGAGCGUUGUCCGGAUUUAUUGGGCGUAAAGAGCGUGUACGCGGCCCGGUAAGUCCGCUGUGAAAGUCGAGGGCUCAACCCUCGAAUGCCGGCGGAUACUGUCGGGCUAGAGUCCGGAAGAGGCGAGUGGAAUUCCUGGUGUAGCGGUGAAAUGCGCAGAUAUCAGGAGGAACACCUACGGCGAAGGCAGCUCGCUGGGACGGUACUGACGCUGAGACGCGAAAGCGUGGGGAGCAAACAGG